rnacentral:rRNA from 1 species
UACGUAGGGCGCAAGCGUUGUCCGGAAUCAUUGGGCGUAAAGAGCUCGUAGGCGGUCUGUUACGUCUGCUGUGAAAACCUAGGGCUUAACCCUGGGCCUGCAGUGGAUACGGGCAGACUAGAGGUAGGUAGGGGAGAAUGGAAUUCCCGGUGUAGCGGUGAAAUGCGCAGAUAUCGGGAGGAACACCGGUGGCGAAGGCGGUUCUCUGGGCCUUACCUGACACUGAGGAGCGAAAGCGUGGGGAGCGAACAGG